GAUYGCGGCGAMGUGGGCGGUUYGCUGCUGGCGACGUCGCGAGAAGUUCCACUGAACCUUAUCAUUUAGAGGAAGGAGAAGUCGUAACAAGGUUUCCGUAGGUGAACCUGCGGAAGGAUCAUUGUCGAU
rnacentral:rRNA from 1 species